CCCACAGCCGGGGCCGCGCGUCACGGCCGGGGAGCGACCGCCCCGCGCCCCGGAAGCACACGUGGGAGCUGGGAAGAUGGCGGCGGCACCGGGAGGCCCGGAGGGAAGCUCGGUGUGUGUGCUAGUGCUGGGCAUGGCCGGCUCCGGGAAAACCACCUUCGUGCAGUGCCUGGCCGCCCACCUGCACGGGCAGCGCUGCCCUCCGUACGUGAUCAAUCUGGACCCCGCCGUGCACGACCUGCCCUUCCCCGCCAACAUCGAUAUCAGGGACACCGUGAAGUACAAAGAAGUCAUGAAACAAUAUGGGCUAGGCCCAAAUGGUGGAAUAGUGACCUCUCUCAAUCUCUUUGCUACAAGAUUUGACCAGGUGAUGAAGUUUAUUGAAAAAAGACAAAAUGCAUCCAAGUAUGUUAUUAUUGACACACCAGGGCAAAUUGAGGUAUUCACCUGGUCAGCAUCAGGAACCAUCAUAACUGAGGCCUUGGCUUCUUCUUUUCCUUCGGUUGUUGUCUAUGUGAUGGACACCUCUCGCAGUACUAACCCUAUCACUUUUAUGUCCAACAUGCUGUAUGCCUGCAGUAUCCUGUACAAGACAAAGCUACCUUUCAUUGUAGUCAUGAACAAAACUGACAUAAUUGACCACAGCUUUGCAGUGGAAUGGAUGCAGGACUUUGAGACUUUUCAGGAUGCCCUGAAUCAAGAGACCUCCUAUGUCAGUAACCUGACUCGUUCUAUGAGUUUAGUGUUGGAUGAAUUUUACAGUUCACUGAAGGUGGUUGGUGUUUCUGCAGUGCUUGGCACAGGACUGGAUGAGUUUUUUAUCCAGCUUUCUAAAGCUGUAGAUGAAUAUGAGAGAGAGUAUCGUCCAGAAUACGAGCGCCUGAGAAAAACGCUGAUCUUUAUCUACAGGAGGAAGCUCAAAAUAAACAAAAGAGAGAGCAGCUGGAACACUUGUGGAAGGACAUGGGCAGUGUGUGUGUGCAGGGCAGCACACUGGCAGGACCUGCUGAUGCUUCUGCAAUGGGUCCCUCUGAGCUAAUACUAACGCGAGGAACUCUCGAUGAAGAGGAAGAAGAGAGGGAGAGUGAUACUGAUGACAUUGACCAUGAAGUGACUGAGGAGAGUCAUGAAGAACCAGCCUUCAGAAACUUUAUGCAGGACAUGCGGAUGAAAUGCCAGAGGAGAAGCAACCCGAAUGAAUGAGACCUUCAGAAACAGAAGGUUUGGAAUCACUUGUGAUGGAGUUUAAACUGAAGGAACAGCAUAAAGAAACUUGCAUGGAACCAUGCAUGAGGAUUUUCAUCUGUGAACAACUUCCUCUGAUAGUCCUCUGAUAGCCGACUGCACGUUUGGCCAUCUGCCACUGUGGCUUCCUGAAGCUGAAGGAACCAGAUAGCAGUUCCUUUUCCUGCAAAUUCUUCAGAUCUAUCUGUUUAGAGCUUAGAUUUUGAGCUCUGACAGCAUUAGCAUCCAGAGUACUUGCUGGUCCCCAGUGGCACCUUCUGUUCACCGAGUGCAGUCAGGCAUCUGCUGCAGCCAGGGCACAACUUGAUCGAUCUACUGUUUGAUGUUUUGGUUUUCAUUAAAUAUAUUUUAUGUACUAACAA